AUGUACAAAGGACUGUUGUUACCUGCUAUUCAACGUGCGAAGUCAUAAAUAAAACGUACAAAGUGAUAUACACAGACCUGUCCCGGAUGUGUUUUGAUGAUCAUGUUAUAUAUUGACUAGUAUUUGUCUUCAACUGCGUCUUUAAUGUUGCAUGCUUUUGUUGGUAACAUGUUAUCUCCAGUGUUUGUUGUGCUGUUGUCUUUGAUUGUCCUGGUAGCAUCAGCUGUGGACAGUAGCAAUUCAGGUUGUCAACUGACCAACCAGGAAUAUGGAAACGGUCUGGAUUCUGAAAAAAGGGCAUUUAAUCAAUUGAAGCCGCUGCUGGGGAAAAGGUUUACCACUACUGAUGUGGAGAAGGAAUAUAGAUAUAGUGUUGGUAUUUUCCGUGAUGCUGUAGAUGGAUAUAAAAAUGUUGGUGUUUUGCAAGAAAGUUUAAAAGAUAAAAGACGGCAUGUUAUAGGGUUGUAUAACUCAGCACAGAUAAUGAGUGGUGGUGAUUGUGUCAUGAUUGAAUAUAAGCACGGUGAAAGGUAUCAUACACAUUGCGACAUGGAGGAGAAAAGGGCCAUUAUUAUCAUUAAAUGUGACGAAACCGCUGACGAUGAUUUUCCUGACUUGAAAAUUAUAAAUAAGGCUAAAAAUAAAGUACAUGGCUGUUAUUAUUUAUUUGAAAUUCGCCAUAAAGCUGUUUGUAAAGUUCGUCCCGAAUGGUAUCAUAUUUAUUAUUACCAAGGCAACAGUCUGUCCUCUGAGGGUGCCAUUGUUGGCUGUGCCAGAUUUGUACAUGUUAUAGUUGCCAUGCACCUUUUGUUCUCUGUAUAUUUAUGAAUUAAACCGUUUAUUUUAUCAAUAUUUGAUUAUCAUGCAUAACAAUUUGAAUUUUAGUUAUUACAAUUUUGGUUCUUAAAAAUGUAAAAUGUAUGGAAACCGAUAAGUACCCUCUCGCUCCUGCUUGCUUGCGUCAACGAGGUGCGAAGGCAAAGCCAGGAAGGCGUCAAAAAUGUCCCCAAUAUCAUUCCCUCUUGCCUUCCCUGCGCUACGAGUAACAGCAAGGAGCCGACAAGACAAGAAAUAAACAUGGUGGAGGCAAGAAGAAGCGAGCGGGUACUUAUCAGCUUCCAUAAAAAUGUCCUGUUUUACAUUUUGUAUUUUGGAUACACCUGCCUUCCUUAUUUUGUAAUUCCCUGCAUUAUCCGGAUAUUAAUAAAAUAUUAAUGUUUGA